rnacentral:rRNA from 1 species
GUCCACGCCCUAAACGAUGCAUAUUUGGUGUGGGUCAUUCAGUUGAUCCGUGCCGGAGCUAACGCGUUAAAUAUGCCGCCUGGGGAGUACAGUCGCAAGGCUGAAACUCAAAGGAAUUGACGGGGGCCCCGCACAAGCGGUGGAGCAUGUGGUUCAAUUCGACGCAACGCGAAGAACCUUACCUGGGCUCGAACGGCUGGUUAACGAUCGUGGAAACACGGUUACUCCGCAAGGAGGUCCAGUCGAGGUGCUGCAUGGCUGUCGU